UUUUUUUUUUUUUUUGGAGUUUGAAUUUUUAAUAAGUGUCCCAACAGCCUCUAAGGAAUGGUCUUAGGGCCACCCUUGAGCUAUACUGACAAAGGGACAUACAUUCUAGGAGAAGGUCUAGAAGGCGGGUGUCUAUCUUAUUCAUAAAUGAACUCCUAGCACUUGAAGAGUAUAUAGCUCAGAUUAUACACACUCAACAAAUAUGUAUUGAUUUAAUUAAUGAAUGGAGACCUGCCCUGUCUCCUGGCACCCUAUGUGAGUAGAAGGCUUGGUAAUAUUUUUUAGUGAAUGACAGCUUUGGAAAAGCUACAAAGGUAAUGCCGUGGCCGCAUAAAGGACUCAGGAUUAUGUAAAUGUAGAAUGAGGCAGUUCAGAAUUAGUUUUCUGGUUGCAAGGAGUAAUCAUAUGUGGAUCUUGACCUACCCCCAAAGAUCUGACAGGCUGAGGAGGUGGGGGGCAGUAUUGGAAAGGGACCCUUAGAAGCUUAGCCUGCAAAUCACUGUUCUGCACAGCAUCUCACCAUUCACCCUCCCCUCACUAGGAUUCUGGAGGAAAGUCCUGAAUGAAGAGCUGACUGGCUGAUGGAAGGCAGGGCCAGGAAUGAGGAGCAGCAAGCAGUUGCGGGGGGGCGGGGGGCAGUAGGGAAAGAGAGCUCCAAGCCACAGGGCACUGCACACGGGGGACACCUGCUCUGACCUAUAAGGGACACAGAGCACACUCAGCACCACACCCUUAGAGGCAGCUGCCUCUUCUGCUUAGUGCAGAGUGAAACCCCAAAUUGGCUGCUUUGGGCCAAGGCAUUUACCCUGUGGCACUUAGCCUAUUGUCAGGUUAAAUUUAUUCUUUUGUCUUCUGACUGACUUUGAUAAAAAAAAAAAAUAGUGUCAAUCUAACUAAGAGGAGAAAUCCUACAACUUCUUUCAAUGACUCAUUGCUGGGCCUUGUAACCCACUGUCAGGGAAUUCUCAUGCCUCAUGUCUGAUGUCAUUUGGGAGAACAGAGAAAGCAAUCCUUACUUCCACUGAACUGCAUCAUUAGACUUCCUAAGAGCACUAUUCACAGUGGGUAGAUCUGGGCUCCGGCAGUUGCUCUGAGCAGGACUGGCUGCCUUAGAAAUCUUGCUAACAUCUAUGAUGGCUUAGUUGACAUUUUGUCUGGCCUAUUUUCCUUUUACCCGUGGAAAGAAACAGGAUAUGGGGCAUAGCCUGGUUAAACUGUUAAACUGGACUUCUUCCCAAUACCAUCAUGCUUGAGGAAGCAAUUAAUGAUGGAUCCAGAAUCUGUUUUUGGACAGUCUGAGAAAAUUUUCCAAUCGGUAUUUUCUUCCUCAGAGUUCAAAUGAAGGAUUCACCUAUGGAUUACUGUGUGUGUAUUCUAUUCCCAUGCACAAAGAUAUGUGAGACCUAGGUUCUGGCUUGAGAUGUAACCUUGUAUGAGAAGCAUAAACUGGGGCACCUGGGUGGCUCAGUGGUUUAGCGCCUGCCUUUGGUCCAGGGAAUGAUCCUGGAGUCCUGGGAUCGAGUCCCACAUCGGGCUCCCUGCGUGGAGCCUGUUUCUCCCUCUGUCUGUGUCUCUGCCUCUCUCUGUGUCUCUCAUGAAUAAAUAAAUAAAAUCUUAAAAAAAAAAAGAAGCAUAAACCCCCCAGAUCUCAUAUUCAUCUGUAAACGGAGUAGAUUCUGCUACUGGCCGUGAAAAAAAAAUCCUCUAACGUUUUCUCAUCACACUUAAAAUUCCAGUUACUUACAUCUUUAUGAUUUGGGGCCCAGCUACUGUUCCCACCUCUCUGUUUCAUGCACUGGCCCUCUUUGUUCCUCUAGCACUCCAAGCUUAUUCCUGCUUUGGGCCCUCUGCACUUAUCUCCUCCCUCAAAAUUCUGCUCCCCACAACACCUCCACUUCAGCUUUGAAAGGCUGAAUGCUCAGAAAUGCUGUUACCACAGAUUUUUGCAUGGCUGGCUCCUUCGUGUUAUUCGGUGCCAGGUUCAAAUUUGACCUUUCUGGAGAGGCUUCCGUGGCCAUUCAAUCUCAUUCCCUGAUUUAAUUUUUUCAAAGCAUUUACCAUUACCUGGAAUUACCUCGUUUAUUUGGUACUCUGCUUGUUUGCAAAUAGUUCUGCCAUAACAUGACAUACGUGUUCCUAAAAAUCGCUGCACCUGUAGUUGUACAAUAUGAACCACUGGGCUUAUGGCAAAAAUGAGGUUGUGGGCCAAAUACUCAAAAACUUCAUCAGUGGCACAUUAAAAAAGAUGGGAACAAUAAAAAUGUAACACAGUCUUAUUUAUGUUAUGUGCUCAAGAUAUUCAUAUAUACCACAAUAAAUAUGUCACCUUAUCUUGAAAAACACUUGAGGUUUGCCUGUGUAAGUAGGCAGUAGGGGAGGGCUACGCUAUUGUGUGAAAUCAGAUGGACAGCUGAAACACCAGAUGUGGCCUAUAACACACUCAGAAAACGGAGGUAGCUGUAGAUGGUUGAGGUGGCUGCUCGCCCCCAUUUUGCAUAUUCCUAUCCUAUGUGACUCAGUUGAACCUGGUGCAGUUUUCUGUGUUCUAAUGUUUCUCAUAGAUGAAAUCAUGCUUAAGAAAACACAAAAUUCACAUUGUGCUUAAACUAUUCCCUAAUAUAUCGGUAGCACUGGAAUAAAUUCACAUGGUCAACACAAACAUUUUAAGAGAUCUGAUGGUAUUUGCAUGCUCUGCUCACUGGAAUUUAAGCUCCACAUGAUCAAGGAACUUUCCUGUUUUAUUUGUUACAAUAUUCCUAUGUCUAAACAACUUGGUACAUAAUUGAUUUUCAGCUGGUAUUUGCUGAAUGAAUGAGUGCAUGAAUGAAUGAAUCUUCCUUCAACUUUCUUCUUUCUGCACCUACCGGCCUGCCCUUUCAAGAGUCACAGUGAUCUUCAUCAGUGUGGGGUUGCUUUUGGUGAGCGGGCAAUAAUAAGAUGACAGGAAUUUCAAAACUGCAGUGUUGGGGCUUAUAUUCUCUGAAGACAAACACACACACACACACACACAAUCCAAACCACUACAAAUCAUUAUGAUGUCUACCUACGUUCUUCUGCUUUUGUAGUCAUGGAAGGUCUCUAAAGUUCCUUGUAUGCCUUACAAAUACCUGAUUCUAAUUAUAGAUUGUCUUGAAGACUGUGCAGAACCAUGGUUGAGGAAGGUAGAAACACCACACAGAGUCCUAUGCUAUGUGGAAAGCCUCCUGGAAUUCAUCCCAUCAGGAGCAAAGCAAGCCUCAAGUCUAACCGUCAGCAAGUAAAUUUUCUGAGAAAUUCGAGCCUCUGUCUCUCUUCUCCAUAAAAAUAUGUCUGAGACCUAAAAUCUAAUCACUCUUUCACUAAGUCAGAGAACAGAAAUAGAAGUGGCUUUGAAAGGUCAUCCCAGACAGGUGGGUUAUGUCAUAUUCCUAAAGGGUUUGGAAAUUGUUUGAAUUUCAGGGAAAUUGUCUAGCACUACUAAGUAAAAGGUCAAAUCAGAAAGUCCCCAAAGAGCUAAAGAAUGCUCUUUCUUCUAAAUUUUCUCUGAUUUAAAUUCUGAACCUAAGAAAAUGUGCCUGAAAAUGCAAAUGUUAUGAUUGAGUUGCUUUAGUUUAUCAGGCAAAAUAGGGAAUAUUUUGUUAUGAUUCUUUACUUCCUCAGUAACUGCUCAAUCUUAUGGAGAGUUGAGUGGAGUGGCAAAGUAAUUACAUGGUGAGUACCAUAUAUUUACGAUUAUUUAUGUUUUCUAGAUUGGAGUACAGGGUAAUUAUUUUUGGUCUUAUUAAGUGCAAAUUACCAAGUAGUCUUCAGGAACAUGUAAUUACUAUGUACUGUAGUCACAUGCCACUUAUCAAGCAAAAUGAAUGCAGUCAAAAUUUUAUUUAAUACAAGCAAAACGAUGCAUGUGGUUUUAGGAAGCAAAGUACAGGAACCUGCCUUCCUGUCUUGGGAGAACAAACAGAAGCAGUUCUUAACUUAGGGCUCUUCUUCAAUGAACAAAUCAACAUUCUAAAAGGUUGAUGCUUGUUAAGAAUACAGAUGUCUGAAGCCCCAAUCUAGACAUAUAAACAAUCCUAGGAGAUGAGGUUGGAGAGUCUGGUUUUUAGCAAGUCCUCAAGGUGUUGUAUGUGCUCACUGCUUUGAAAUGGUACCUGCCUGAGAUUCACAAAAUACUCUGACCAGCAGUGUUACCUUUACACAUAACAGGUGGGGAAAAAUGGAGACCUCGGGGGUGUGAAUUUUUCUGUUUUUCACUGUUUGACUAGUUUGUAUUCUUUUUAGAUUGCACUUUGACAUGUAUCUUUGCUCUCACUUGCAAGGAUACAGAAGUGUUAUUAUACAUUGAGCAUUCUUUGUGAGUUGUUUUCUAUUAUACGUAGACUACCUACAUUCAAUUUAGUUUAGAUAUUUUAGAUCUUAGUGGACAUACAAAGACACACACAUGGACACAAAAUACACAAAAUCUAAAGGACAGCAGUAUGAAGCCAGAGUGAUUUGCCUCAUGGUGACAUCAAGGGCAGACUUUAUUCAAAAGAUAUUUCCUGAGCACUUACACU
rnacentral:lncRNA from 1 species